UAAGACGAACCGUGCGAACGUUGUUCGGAAUCACUGGGCUUAAAGGGCGCGUAGGCGGGCUACCAAGUCUGUGGUGAAAUCCUCCAGCUCAACUGGAGAACGGCCGUGGAUACUGGGAGCCUCGAGGGAGAUAGGGGCAGGCGGAACUGAUGGUGGAGCGGUGAAAUGCGUUGAUAUCAUCAGGAACUCCGGUGGCGAAGGCGGCCUGCUGGAUCUCAUCUGACGCUGAGGCGCGAAAGCCAGGGGAGCAAACGGGAUUAGAUACCCCGGUAGUCCUGGCCCUAAACGAUGAGUACUAGGUAGUAGGCCAGACAUGGGCUUACUGCCGGAGCAAAAGUGCUAAGUACUCCGCCUGGGGAGUAUGGUCGCAAGGCUG
rnacentral:rRNA from 1 species